GAUGAACGCUGGCGGCGUGCUUAACACAUGCAAGUCGAACGAAGCAUUUAAGACAGAUUACCUCGGUUUGAAGUCUUUUAUGACUGAGUGGCGGACGGGUGAGUAACGCGUGGGUAACCUGCCUCAUACAGGGGGAUAGCAGCUGGAAACGGCUGGUAAUACCGCAUAAGCGCACAGUACCACAUGGUACAGUGUGAAAAACUCUGGUGGUAUGAGAUGGACCCGCGUCUGAUUAGCUUGUUGGCGGGGUAACGGCCCACCAAGGCGACGAUCAGUAGCCGACCUGAGAGGGUGACCGGCCACAUUGGGGCUGGGACGCAGCCCAGACUCCUACGGGAGGCAGCAGUGGGGGAUAUUGCACAGUGGAGGAAACUCUGAUGCAGCGACGCCGCGUGAGUGAAGAAGUAGUUCACUAUGUAAAGCUCUAUCAGCAGGGAAGAUAGUGACGGUACCUGACUAAGAAGCUCCGGCUAAAUACGUG
rnacentral:rRNA from 1 species